rnacentral:lncRNA from 1 species
CGGCAUUCGUUGAGAUCAAAUAGCUCCGAAUUCGGUGAAGUAUUUACGAUUAACUUGAUAAAAGGAGAUAAAUGUGGUAAGAAGAUAGAAAUUUUUACCGAGCGUCCGAGAUUAGGACUAAUCUCCUGGCAUAACACGAAACUGACACCUGGGGUGUCACAAACAGUGUGUAUCUCUAUACCCAAAACCACAUAAAGCAAUAACAGGUACUACCCAAAAUUUCAGUGGUAAACAAGGUAUAAAGAUAGUCAAACUAGGGUAACCUAUUGGGUCCCAUCAAAAUUAACCUAUGGAGAUCAUUAUGAUUAAUCAGAACAUGACUAGGUAAAAAGAAGUGAUCAAGGGCACAACUUGCCUUCAACGAGCUCCUGCUCAGCAGUCUCUACCAGCUGAACCUCUGGAUCCUCAGUGGCUGGCUCAUCUACUCGCAUCAAUACAAACAUACAUAGUAUAGCAAAAAUUAACAUCACACCAAACAAUAGAACAAAAUGCAUGAUAAUAUUCUAUGCUACGUAACGAGAUCAUAGGAACAAGAACCACUAAAUUCGAAAUUAUGCUUAUUUAGUUAUGAAUUUCUAAAGUUAUUUAGUGCCUCGAAUGGAAUAAUUCAAGUGCAUAAUUUUAAUUCAAGUUUGAUGAUUAAACAGAGCUACUAGUUGAUAGACAAUAUUAUUACAAAAUAAAUGCCACUAGAAUGAAUUAAUUUGGAGCUAGAAUGGAUUAAAUAUAAAUUUCACAAGUUUAUUGAUUUAUUUGUGUACUAAAAAUCAAUUUCUAUAGGUACUUAUCCAAUCUCUUUGUUCUCUGGGCCGAGAACUGAAUACAGAGAACUACAGGGACUGAACCAGAAGUUUUCCCCAGACUCAGAAUAACCCUAGGACGGACUGUGGGUUGGUUUUCUAAAACCAGGAGGGCUUUUCUGCAAAACACGCACAUCGAAGGGAUAUUGCGGUUUACUGGUUGUUGGAUUCGAGAUCGAGCGCCCAGAUCAGACUGCCCACUCCGCGAAUCGGUAUGUGAUCCCAACUGUUGGAUCCCACAUCGGUGGCUCUGAUUUAAAAACCUAUGACCUAAUCUCCCGCGUUCAUCCGCCGAUUGACGGACGUGAUGGCUCCAUUGCCCAACCGGUACGCUUGGAUGAUCUCGGCCGUGCAGAUUAGAUCCGACCACUCCCGAUCGUCUUCCUGACCCUGCCGAACUCCGCCGACCCCCAGCUUCACGCCGCGAUGAAGCCAUGGCCAGAGGGACCUGCUCUACCCCCCAAUGAGCCGAGUACUAAAUUCGUUGGGCGCUAAAUGAAAUUGGGACGAUGGCGGACCAGGGAAGGAAGAAUCUUACAAUGGUUACGCAGCGCUUGACUCUGUCCACGGCGCACGGCGAAUUCGCGGCGACAGUGAUGAAUUGGAGGCGCCCAGAUCGCUCCCCCUCCUUGAUUCCACUGUGAGUGCAUUCCGGAUGACCAGGCGGAGCUCCUCGACUCCACCCCGGGUACCCGCCAGCGAUGUUCUCACAUGGCGACAAUCUCUUUCCUCACGGAGAUCCGCUUGGACAACACGGCGGCACCGAGGCGAUUCACGGGGUGUCGAAAAGCGAAAAGGAAGAGGAGAGGAGAGGAAAGAAGUCGCGACGAUCCGGCCUAUAUGGGCGCAAGGUCGUUCGCGACGCGGAGCAAUGGAGCUCCGGGUCUUCGGGCGUACCCGCCCUAGUC